UCUCAAAAAGAGUUGAGAACUGUGAAAGAUUGAAUUCUUGUCCUGUUGUACCUUGUAUGUAUCGGUAUGGUGUUUGCAUACAUUUCUUAACAAUCAAUCAAGGAUCAACAAGAGCGGGACCUCCAUUUCUGAAUCACUGUUCGUUGAGGCAUCUUCCUUCUUGUCGUGGCCCUCUCUACAUACAAUUCCACGACUAUCUUUUCCAGAUUGGUGUUUCACAAUUCAAUCUACAUUUCUACACAAUUAAAGUUCGAGGAGCUCGAUUUUAAUGAACUAGGGUGUUGGGUUUGAAUUCAUAGAAUUUGGCGAUGUUUGAUUCAAAACCCUACUAUGGUCUAUGGUAAUUGAGUAGUUCGUAAAGUUGUUCUUGGCAAUUGGAAAAUCCUAAGCGUCUCUUUACGGUGCAGAGCAGCUCGUUGAGAUCUUCCACAGUAGCGCAACCUGAGGACACUGUCAUGGCUCCAAAAGGAAAUGGGAUACAUGCCCUCGGGUUAAAUCAGCGGCGACGCGCCGAGCUAAUCGCAGUUGCAGUCAUUCGAUGCACUACGAGAAUAUGAUUCCCGUUUGCAAUUCGCUGAUAAGGAGAAUAAAAUCGGAGAAGACUAUGGAGAAUAUUCGUAGGAACAUAAUGGUUCAUGUUGGUGACGGUUGGCUAAUUUGGAAGAGGCUAGAAUUAAGGGGAGGAGGAAGGAGAGGACAGCAGGGGAGAGCUCGAGUGCAGCGGGGAGCAGGGAGGCUGCAUUGCAGGAGAGGUAGAUUGCGGCAAGAGAAGUGGAGAGGUCGAGGAACAUUGUGAGAAGGCAGAAGAAGGAAUUGAGGGCCAGAAUGUUGGAGGUUUUCAGGGAGGAAUCAGAGAGAAAGCGGAUGCUUGACGAGCGCAUGAAUUACAGCAUGCUGGACUAGUAAUUAUUGUUUGAAUAUGGCUGCUGAGCAAGAAAAACUUGUUUCAGAGAAAUGGUUGCCUGAACUUAAUGCUGCAGUUUUUGAAUGCUCGAAAGUGCUUGGAAGAUUGCCACUAUGUUGGGGGUUUGCUUGAUGAUUGGUGGGAGCAACCUGCAUCUACAGUUGUUGAGUGGAUUAUAGUCGAUGGUCAGAAUGUUGUUGUAUGGAUCAAUCAUGUCAUGAAAAAACUUCUGGCAUUCUACAAUAAAAAGCUCUAGGCAAAUAGGAUCUUGAGCACUUGGUGCGUGUUGGAACACACCACCCACAAAGUUCCACAUGGAAAAGAAAUGUCAUUGUUUAGUGGUUUAUAAUAAGUGUGUAGAACUCAAGCUCACAAUUCAUGACUUUUGAGAAAAAAAGGACCCUACCCGCUUGUGUUGUGAGUUCAGUUUAGGACUAUUAACGUGGGCUCCCCAAGGUGCGUCUUGUUAUUGCCAUAUUCUGCCUUUAACUUUUGCCAUAUAUAUGUAUAUCAUGAUGAUUUCUUCUCAGAUCUCAUUCCAGCAAGGUUGUGAUGGAACCAUCAAAAUUACCACCUCUUUGUAUUUCAAUUGAUGAGCUUCCUUUGGAGAGGGGCUGGGGAGGAAGAGAGUAUUGCCUGUUUGAAGGCUUUUGGUAUGAAAAAGUUUUCCUUGAAUCUAUAUUCGCAACAAGAUCACAUUUUGAGGCUCGCGAUGAUGAUGUGAUUAUAGCUUCUUCAGUGAAGACAGGAACUACUUGGCUCUUGGCGCUAACAUGGUCCAUUAUGAACCCCUAAUCUGAUGACAAUCAUGAUGCUUUGGUCAAAACCAAUCCGCAUGUGCUCAUUCCAUCUUUGGAAUUCAGAGUUUUCCACGAAAAAAAUUAUGCAGAUAUUGUUGAUGAUCUCUCAGGUAUGUCCUCUACAAGACUAUUCUGUACCCAUGUCCCAUAUAUGAUGUUAUCAAAUUCUAGUAAGGAAUCUGGUUGCAAGAUCGUGUAUAUUACUCGAGACCCUAAAGAUGUUUUUGUGUCAUUGUGGCACUUCUGUAAUGCAAACGCACUUAUGAAACAGCCAGUUACUUUAGAUGAAGCCUUCGACAAUGACUGCAAAGGGAUUCAUCCAUAUGGUCCUUUCCAUGACCAUGUUUUGAGUUAUUGGAAUGAGAGUUUGAAGAGGCCUGAGAAGAUACUUUUCUUGAAGAUGAAGCCUUCGACAAUUACUGCAAAGGGAUUCAUCCAUAUGGUCCUUUCCAUGACCAUGUUUUGAGUUAUUGGAAUGAGAGUUUGAAGAGGCCUGAGAAGAUACUUCUCUUGAAGUAUGAAGAGAGACCCCAGAAGUCAAGUCCAAAAACUGGCUUCUUUUCUCGGAAGGCCUAUUGUUGUGGAGGAAGAGAUUGACAAGAUAAUAUGGAGGUGUAGCUUGGAUAGGCUAAAGAAUUUGGAGGUGAACCAGAAUGAGAAUGCAAUCAUUGGGUCUAGGUCUGGGAUUAGCAUUAUAUACAAAUCAUUUUUGAGGCUUGGAUCAACUGGGGAUUGGAAGAAUUACUUAUCAGUGGAAAUGAAAGAACAACUUGGCAGCAUUACCCACAUGAAGUUCCAGGGCUCUGGUUUGGACAUUGAAAUCUCUUGAAUGAGUCUCAUUUGUUUGUACAUUUGGUGCUGCGCCUUGUAUUUGGUAUUAUGUAUUGCAAACAAGGCAAUGGUAAGAAAUAAAUAUGGUUUAUUUUGUUCACUUUUUCAUAAAGUAAAAUCUUCAUUGCAA